UCUGGUGAUCAUGGGUGAGGGGAAACACACGUUCCCAUUCCGAACACGAUCGUUAAGCCCUCAAUCGCCGAUGGUAGUGCCGCCCCGAUGUGGUGCGAGAGUAGGUCGUUGCCAGUA
rnacentral:rRNA from 1 species